GCGCCUGCCGGCCCCGAGUCUUUCGUUGGCUUCCCCGUGCCGUUGCUCCUGAGAACGAGGCUACUGGCAAGGCGCGGGGAGGGUGGGCGGUGUGCGAGCCAUCCAAGGGGCUGAGAGAGUGGAACAGCUUCAAAAGGAGCUGAGGUAAGUCAGGAAGAUUUGGUAUAAAAAGUCACUUGCUAGUUGAACUCGAGAGCCAUGAACAGAGGCAGCCAAAUGGUUAAUCGCUUCCUGGUGUUGAGGAGCGGACCUGAGCCGAGCUAAGCAUGGAAGUCUUGAUAUAAAAAGUCACUUGGGCCUUUCGGAUAAGUUGUUCACUGAACACAAUGGUAAUUUCCUCAGUUUGGUAGAGCUCCCUGGGAAAUACUACAAUGUCAUGCAUGAGCACGUACAUCGAGUAGUUCGUAAAGAAACUAUGGACCAUUACUACAGCAAAACAAUUGAAAACAAAUUGAUUUACCUUAUGGCAAGGAAGGUGCUUGAUAACAUAUUGAUGCAGCUCGACAAAGCAAAGUACUAUGCCAUAAUAAUGGACUGCAUUCCUGACAUUCGUCACAGUGAAAAGAUGUAAUUUACAGUAAGAUUUGUUGACAAUGAGGAUGGCUGUAUCCAAGUAAAGGAACACUUUAUCUGUUUCGGUCUGUGGACAACUCUACUGGAAAAGGCCUAACAGAACUGUUUAUGAACGUUUUGAAUGAGAAUAAAAUAAAGCUUCAGGACUGCCAUGGCCAAGGCUAUGACAAAGGCGUGAACAUGAAGGGAAAAAACAGUGGUAUCCAGGCAAGAAUCCGUGCACUGAAUCCAAGAGAUCUCUUUGUGCCUUGUAACUGCCAUUCCUUCAACCUGGUUGUGUCAGAUGCAGCGUCAUCUUCUUUAGAUUCAGUAUCUCUCUUCGGAGUACUGCAAAGGAUAUACAUCCUGUUUUCAGCAUCAGCUAUCAGGUGGAAGAUCCUCAUGGACAAUAUCACAAAUAUGACCAUGAAGCUACUAAGUGACGCUCACUGGGAGAGCCAUAUUAAUAGUAUAAGACCAGUGACAUACCAAGUGACUGAGGUUUAUGAAUCACUGAUGGAACUGGUGCAGUCAAGUAAAGCCAAGGCCGAAAUUUGACACUAGGGUGCAAAGCCUGGCAAACCAUAUCACUGACUUCAAAUUUCUGGUCUUAAUUAUGGUUUGGCAUGAUAUUCUGUUCGAAGUAAACAUUGUAAGCAAGGCAUUACAAACUCAGUUGAUGGACAUUGCAACCACUACUACUUUGAUGAGAAGCUGCCUUGAUUUCAUUGUGGCCUACAGAGACAAUGGAUUUGAAGAUGCCAUCACUCAGUUGAUGGACAUUGCAACCACUACUACUUUGAUGAAAAGCUGCCUUGAUUUCAUUGUGGCCUACAGAGACAAUGGAUUUGAAGAUGCCAUCACUGCUGCCAAAGAAAUGGCAGAAAACUUAGGAGUUGAAUUUGUCUUCAGUGAAAUUUGUAUUCAUUAGAAAAAGAGACAGUUUGGUUACAAGGGCAGAGAUGAGGUGAUGGGAAACUUGGAAGAAAAAUUCAAGAGGGAAAAUUCACUGCUCGAGUGUCCAUUAAAGAAAGGUUUGGACAAAUGAAUCACUAUGAAAAGACCUGGGGAGUUUUGUAUGACCUUAGUAAGCUGCUGGCAGACAGGAAAACACUCUUGAACAAUUGUACGGACCUUCACUGGACGCUGACACAUGGGGGAUAUUUGGACAUCAAUGAUAAAGACUUCUGUCAAGUUGGACAACAGCGGUCACAUUUUGCAACAUGGAAGCACUAUCCACUUCAAGUUCUCCAAUUCAUGAUGCAGGGCUGAAGGACACUUUUCCUAACCUGUGGAUAGCUUUGAGGAUUCUGAUCAUGCUGCCAGUCACAGUCACAAGUGGUGAACGCAGCUUUUCGAAGCUCAGGCUCAUUAAAACAUAUUUUUGAUUGACAAUGGCCUAGGAGAGACUGACAUCACUUGCUAUUUUAUCACUUGAAAAUGCCAUUGGCCAGUCUUUGGAUUUCUCUGAUACUGUGCUUCAGUUUGUGAGGGCAAAGGUGAGAAAAACGACCUUUUGAACUAAAGUAGUAGGAUUAACAUUCUAAGGCUGUCACCUACUGUAAGUAUCAGAGGGGUAGCCGUGUUAGUCUGAAUCUGUAAAAAGCAAC